rnacentral:rRNA from 1 species
UACAGGGGGGGCAAGCGUUGCUCGGAAUCACUGGGCGUAAAGGGCGCGUAGGCGGGACGCCAAGUCGGUCGUGAAAUCUCCGGGCUCAACCCGGAGGAGUCGGCCGAAACUGGUGUUCUUGAGGGAGGCAGAGGAGUCUGGAAUUCCCGGUGUAGCGGUGAAAUGUGUAGAGAUCGGGAGGAACACCGGUGGCGAAGGCGGGACUCUGGGCCUACCCUGACGCUGAGGCGCGAAGGCGUGGGGAGCAAACGGG